CCCUCGCAGACCAUCAGUUGAAGACGGACGCGAGGGCCGGGGUGGUGGAAAAAAUUAAUUCCUGAGAUACCACAUAUAAUCGCAUGCAGAAGCCGAGAUGCAACACCUUCUUCGCAUCCCGCUUCCUCCUCCAGCUCUGUGGCCGCCUCCGCCUCCGACCGCGCCAUCUCCUCUGCCUCUUCUCGGAGGAUCGCUCUCUCACUCCACCGUUUCUCUCUUUCUCAGUGGGUUCCUCUG
rnacentral:lncRNA from 1 species